GGCGAAAAAAAAGACAUAAUAAGCUCGGUCCUCGCGAUGCAUCUAGAUUUGUAGAGUUUGAUCCUGGCUCAGGAUGAACGCUGGCGGCGUGCUUAACACAUGCAAGUCGAACGGUGAAGCUCAACUUGGUGGGUGGAUCAUUGGCGAACGGGUGAGUAACACGUGAGCAAUCUGCCCCUGACUCUGGGAUAAGCGCUGGAAACGGCGUCUAAUACUGGAUACAAACCGUGGAGGCAUCUUCCCCGGUUGGAAAGAUUUUUUGGUCAGGGAUGAGCUCCCGGCCUAUCAGCUUGUUGGUGAGGUAAUGGCUCACCAAGGCGUCCACGGGUAACCGGCCUGAAAGGGUGACCGGCCACACUGGGACUGAAACACGGCCCAAACUCCUACGGGAGGCAGCAGUGGGGGAUAUUGCACAAUGGGCGAAAGCCUGAUGCAGCAACGCCGCGUGAGGGAUGACGGCCUUCGGGUUGUAAACCUCUUUUAGCAGGGAAAAAGCGAAAGUGACGGUACCUGCAGAAAAAGCGCCGGCUAACUACGUGCCAGCAGCCGCGGUAAUACGUAAGGCGCAAGCGUUAUCCGGAAUUAUUGGGCGUAAAGAGCUCGUAAGCGGUUUGUCGCGUCUGCUGUGAAAUCCCGAGGCUCAACUUCGGUCUGCAGUGGGUACCGGCAGACUAUAGUGCGGUAGGGAGAUAGGAAUUCCUGGUGUAACGGUGGAAUGCGCAGAUAUCAGGGGAACACCGAUGGCGAAGCAGAUCUCUGGGCCGUACUGACGCUGAGGACGAAGCUGGGGAGCAACGGCUUAGAUACCUGUAUUCCACCCGUAACGUGGACUAUUGGGGUCAUCCGAUCGUGACCAGCUACGCAUAGUCCCGCCUGGGAUACGCCCAGCUAAAUCAGAUGACG
rnacentral:rRNA from 1 species